rnacentral:lncRNA from 1 species
AUUUUAACCCGGGGCCCAAAUUAAUUAAUUAAAUCCAAUAAAACUUGGGCCAAUCCUGACCCAAUUACAUUUGGCCCAAUAAGGCCCAAGUGUGCUAACCCUAGCCUAACCCUAAGCAGCAGUUAGCAGUAGCCACCCCACGUCGCAGCAACCUCUAGUGCCGUGCACGCCCCACGUUCGGCAGCCUCCCAAACUGUCCCACAUCUUCGCUGGCACUUCCACUCGCACAACGCUCACACAUCUGCAAGCCACAGACAACACUAAUAGGAUAUACACACAGCAAAACAGUUGUAAAAGGAUUUAGGGAGGGCUAUAUAAAGGCCAAUGAUUUUCUGUAACUGGGUUAGAAAAAUUUUGUACUAAAAAGAGAAAAAUCUUGUAUUGGAAAA